AAAAAUCUCUGAAAAUAUCCUCCCAUGAAAAUUUUUACCAUCCCUAAUUUUGACAACUUGAUUAUGGUUAGAGAUGAAUUUGGGCAAAAAAACGAAACUACUAGGUCUGGCUGUGAACCGGUUGGGUGAAAAAUCGGAGCCUGGCACACAUGAAGUUGUGCUACAGUAUACAAGUUCCAAAGCCAGUUGCGUGUGUGCAUUUUAAUAGUUU
rnacentral:lncRNA from 1 species